UGGUUAGAGAUAUCCUCCCAAGGGCCC
rnacentral:piRNA from 1 species